UACAGAGGGGGCAAGCGUUGUUCGGAAUUACUGGGCGUAAAGGGCGCGUAGGCGGCCUUCUAAGUCGAACGUGAAAUCCCCGGGCUCAACCCGGGAACUGCGUCCGAUACUGGAAGGCUUGAAUCCGGGAGAGGGAUGUGGAAUUCCAGGUGUAGCGGUGAAAUGCGUAGAUAUCUGGAGGAAUACCGGUGGCGAAGGCGGCAUCCUGGACCGACAUUGACGCUGAUGAGCGAAAGCUAGGGGAGCAAACGGG
rnacentral:rRNA from 1 species